UUUUAACGUCAAAAUAAAUAAAACUCAAGAUUAAAUGUUCAUAAUAUAAGGUUCAUUGCAAAUCUUAACACAAAAUAAUUUAGCCAAGCAUAAUGUUGAAAGUAAACAAAGAAAGGAGAAAAGAUAUCACCAAAAAUCGACGAAACGUGAUUAAUAUACGUAUCAAAAUUUCAGCACAAUUCUGUCAACUCCUCUCCUUCCUGCCGGCAGCACGCAUGUGUGUGUGUGUGUAUAUAUAUAUAUAUAUCCCAGCCACCACUUUAUAUUUUGGUUUCAAUUCAAUUCCAGCAGCUGGUUGCAUUCCUCAAUUACUCCAAUUGAGCCGCCGUUGUUGGGCAUUUAAUUCCCAGCCUCCAAUCUGCCGAAUUCUGUGGGAAUUAUCUCUUAAAAAUCAACUCUUUCAACCCACCAAUAUAUCCCUAGAAGCUGGCCGAC
rnacentral:lncRNA from 1 species